GAAGGAGUGGCCCGACGAGUCGAAGAAAUCCGCUCCUGAAGAAAACAAGCGUGCACCGGACAGUGUUCCGCGAUGUUUUCUGUGUAACCGAGUGGGUCAUCGCGC
rnacentral:lncRNA from 1 species